GAUGAACGCUGGCGGCGUGCCUAAUACAUGCAAGUCGAGCGAACGGACGAGAAGCUUGCUUCUCUGAUGUUAGCGGCGGACGGGUGAGUAACACGUGGAUAACCUACCUAUAAGACUGGGAUAACUUCGGGAAACCGGAGCUAAUACCGGAUAAUAUUUUGAACCGCAUGGUUCAAAAGUGAAAGACGGUCUUGCUGUCACUUAUAGAUGGAUCCGCGCUGCAUUAGCUAGUUGGUAAGGUAACGGCUUACCAAGGCAACGAUGCAUAGCCGACCUGAGAGGGUGGUCGGCCACACUGGAACUGAGACACGGUCCAGACUCCUACGGGAGGCAGCAGUAGGGAAUCUUCCGCAAUGGGCGAAAGCCUGACGGAGCAACGCCGCGUGAGUGCUGAAGGUCUUCGGAUCGUAAAACUCUGUUAUUAGGGAAGAACAUAUGUGUAAGUACCUGUGCACAUCUUGACGGUACCUAAUCAGAAAGCCACGGCUAACUACGUG
rnacentral:rRNA from 1 species